rnacentral:rRNA from 1 species
UACGUAGGGUGCGAGCGUUAAUCGGAAUUACUGGGCGUAAAGCGUGCGCAGGCGGUCUGUUAAGACAGAUGUGAAAUCCCCGGGCUUAACCUGGGAACUGCAUUUGUGACUGGCAGGCUAGAGUAUGGCAGAGGGGGGUAGAAUUCCACGUGUAGCAGUGAAAUGCGUAGAGAUGUGGAGGAAUACCGAUGGCGAAGGCAGCCCCCUGGGCCCAAUACUGACGCUCAUG